ACAAGAAUUGCAACAACUCUGUGUAGUCAAGAAUCUUUCUAUUCAUGAUGUGGUUAUGCGAUUAAUGCGGAAGGAAAAUUAUUUGAUAGGAAUGCUUAACAAAGGGCUCCUUGCUUUUCCUAUUUCUCACUGGGUACCUGGUGCUGGUCCAACUAUCAAAUGUGGCCCUAGGAAUGCUUAACAAAGGGCUCCUCGCUUUUCCUAUUUCUCACUGGGUACCUGGCGCUGGUCCAACUAUCAAAUGUGGCCCUAAUGGAGUGCAUAGUCGUCUAAUAUUGACAAAAACCCUUGAAUGGACCAUAAAUUGGUGC
rnacentral:lncRNA from 1 species